rnacentral:lncRNA from 1 species
CCCAGCACAGGUUUCAGAUGACAGCCAACAUCAAAAUGUGGCCUCUCCCUGUGAUCUGGGCUUCCUCACAGCAUGGUGGCUGGGUUCAAAGAGCAAGCAUCCCAGGAGGACCACGGAGAAAUGGUGUCCCCUUUCAUGACCUACCUUGAAUCACUUCUGCCAGUCACAGACCUUCUUGAAUUCAAGGGGAGGGAGCACAGACCUGACCUCACCAUGGGAGCAAUGUUAAGGUCAUGCUGCAGAACAGCACGUGCUAUUAUUAUUAUUAUUAUUAUUAUUAUUAUUAUUAUUAUUAUUAUUAGGGAGUCUUGCUCUGUCACGCAGGCUGGAGUGCAGUGAUGCAAUCUCGACUCACUGCAACUUCCGCCUCCUGGGUUCAAGCCAUUCUUCUGCCUCAGCCUCCUGAGUAGCUGGGAUUACAGGCGCCGGAUACCACACCCAGCUAAAUUUUGUACUUUUAGUAGAGACGGAGUUUCACCAUGUUGGCCAGGCUGGUCUCAAACUCCCGACCUCAAGUGAUCCACCUGCCUCGGCCUCCCAAACUGCAGGGAUUACAGGUGUGAGCCACCACACGCAGCACAUGCUAUUAGUAAAAAGUCAGAAAACAGUCAGGUGUGGUGAUUUGCACCUAUAAUUCUGCACUUUGGGAGGCCGAGGUGGGCAGAUCACUUGAGGUCAGGAGUUCGAGACCCACCUAGGCAAAAUCAGACCCGCAUAUCUAUAAAAAUAAAAAAUAAAUAUAAAAUUAAAAGUCAGAAAACCGCAGAUAUUGGUGAGGAUGCAGAGAAAAGGGAAUGCUUAUACACUGUUGGUGGGAAUGUAAAUUAUUACAACCAUUACAGAAAACAUUAUGGAGAUUUCUCAAAGAAAUAAAAACAGAACUGCCGUUCAAAUAGCAAUCUCACUACUGGAUAUCUUCCCAAAGGUGGCUCACGCCUGUAAUCCCAGCACUUUGGGAGGCUGAGUUGGGCAGAUCAUGAGGUCAGGAGUUCGAGACCAGCCUGGCCAACAUAGUGAAACCCCAUUUCUACGAAAAAUACAAAAAAAUUAGCUGGGCGUGAUGGUGGUAGGUGCCUGUAAUCCCAGCUACUCGGGAGGCUGAGGUGGGAGACUCUGUUGAACCUGGGAAGCAAAGGUUGCAGGUGAGCCGAGAUCGCACCAUUGCACUCCAGUCUGGGCAACAAGAGUAAAACUCCAUCUCAAAAAAAAAAAUUGAGUAAAUGGGUUAUUUCCCCAAGAUUGCCUUUUUAAAGAAAACCAGUUUUAUAAACCUGUUUUCUAGAAAAUCAGUUCUGUAAACCAACAUUCAUCAGGCUUAUCAUAUGGCUUUUUAGAUUUUGCAUUAUUUUUGUGAGGAUUUUUAUUAGUAUGUUUCCUAAUAAUGGGCCAUGUUUAAAUUUUUUUUGUUAUAUUUUUGAAGUAUGCCUUACUAGAUCAUGUUGUGAUAUAAUUAUAACAUAUGCUGCUUUCUCUUUGCUUGGAUUUUAAAAUUUUGCAGUUAAAAUUAUUUUCUUUUUUGUGUGCUUUGUCAGAUUUUCACAUCAGUGUUACACUAGUAUUUUAAUGGCCUAUUUUAUUCUAUUCUUUUAUUUUCAAAUUUUCUAUAUCCUUAAGCUUAAAAAUGCCUCUUUUAAACAGUGUAAAAUUGAGGUUUUUUUAUUAUUAGGUUUUAUAAUUUUUGUAUUUUAAUUGGAGCAUUUAGUUUGUAUAAUAUAGUUAAUAUACUCUUUGCUUUCUAUUUUCAUCAAAAAUUUGAAUAGAACAAAAGGCCUACCUCCCCCAAGCAAGAGGGAAUUCUCUGGCAGAUUGCCUUUGGACUUGAAUUGCAACUCUUUCCUGAAUCUCCAGCCUGCCAGCCUCUUCUAUUACCAGUCAAUUCCUUAAAAUAAAUCUGUAUGAUAUACAUUUAAUAUAAUUAAUAUAUAAUGUGGCUGCUACCUAGUAGAAUUAAUAUAUACUUAAUAAGACAUACAGUAUAAUUACAGUAGUACCUCC